UGGCAGUAGUUAUUUAGUUUU
rnacentral:piRNA from 1 species